AUUUAAAUAGUUUAAUUAAAAUAUUGAUUUGUGGAGUCAAUGAAAUAAUAAAUAAAAAUAAUUAUUUUAAAUA
rnacentral:tRNA from 1 species